UGUGCAACAAUGUUGAGGAGGCAUCGGUU
rnacentral:piRNA from 1 species